rnacentral:rRNA from 1 species
GAUGAACGCUGGCGGCGUGCUUAACACAUGCCAGUCGAACGGAAAGGCUCUUGCUUGCAGGGGUUCUCGAGUGGCGAACGGGUGAGUAACACGUGGGUGAUCUGCCCUGCACUUCGGGAUAAGCCUAGGAAACUGGGUCUAAUACCGGAUAGGACGCUGGUUUGGAUGCCAUUGUGGAAAGUUUUUUCGGUUUGGGAUUGGCUGGCGGCGUAUCAGCUUGUUGGUGGGGUAGUGGCCUACGAAGGCGACGACGGGUAGCCGGCCUGAGAGGGUGUACGGCCACAUGGGGACUGAGAGACGGCGCAGACGCCUAUGGGAGGCAGCAGUGGGGAAUAUGGCACAAUGGGAGCGAGCCUGAUGCAGCGACGCCGCGUGGGGGAUGACGGCCUGCGGGUUGUAAACACCUUUCGCUAGGGACGAAGCGCAAGUGACGGUACCUGGAGAAGAAGCACCGGCUAACUACGUG